UACGUAGGGGGCUAGCGUUGUCCGGAAUCAUUGGGCGUAAAGCGCGUGUAGGCGGUCCGGUAAGUCCGCUGUGAAAGUCGGGGGCUCAACCCUCGGAUGCCGGUGGAUACUGUCGGGCUUGAGUACGGAAGAGGCGAGUGGAAUUCCUGGUGUAGCGGUGAAAUGCGCAGAUAUCAGGAGGAACACCAAUUGCGAAGGCAGCUCGCUGGGAAGUUACUGACGCUGAGACGCGAAAGCGUGGGGAGCAAACAGG
rnacentral:rRNA from 1 species